CACGUAGGGGACGAGCGUUGUCCGGAUUCAUUGGGCGUAAAGCGCGCGUAGGCGGCUCGGCAAGUCGGUCGUGAAAUGCCGGGGCUCAACCCCGGGACUGCGUCCGAUACUCCCGAGCUGGAGGCAGGUAGGGGAGAUCGGAAUUCCUGGUGUAGCGGUGAAAUGCGCAGAUAUCAGGAGGAACACCGAUGGCGAAGGCAGGUCUCUGGGCCACUACUGACGCUGAGAAGCGAAAGCAUGGGGAGCGAACAGG
rnacentral:rRNA from 1 species